GGUGGCAAGCAGGCUCCCAACCAUUGUAGCCCACAGUUAUUUCAGUAAACGUGGGCCUCUCUCCAGGGCACCCACCACUAACCAGGAAAUCAUCACUUCCAAGGUCCCAGGGCCUCAUAGCAGCACCGACUGACGGCUCAUACCAAAGUCUGUCUUUUCUGACAGCACUUGUAGAGACCCUCCACAUGACCUGUCAGCUGCCUGGGAACAGGAACCACUGUUUAGAGAUCCCAGAGACGGACUGCUUCCUGAAAAUAGUGUGAUUCUUUAUAGAACUCUGCCUCCUCGACUUCUCUGAAUCAAGCUGGGUUCACAGGGCUUCUGUGGCCAACCCUUGAACCUCUAGUUCCUUCACCAGCCAGUGCAACAAGGGGCAGAUGGCUUCCUAGUAGUCCAGUGGGUGAUGAUGAUGACGAUGACGACGAUGGCGGUCAUCACUGUGUCCAUUUUACAAAUGGAGAAACAAGGACUUACAGAUGCUUACCCUCACCUCCUCGUGCAGACCUGGAGACCUUGUUUAACAAAGAGCAAUGCCCAUAUUGCACUGACUUGGUGUGAUUCUUCAGAACCCUGGGAGAGAUACUGAUGGUCUCCUCUGAAGGAAAAGUAAAGUGGUGCUGAUGAGCUACUCUCAACCACAAAGACAAGGACAACUGGAGCAGGCACCUUAGACCCAUGUGGGGCCAGCUGGGAAUCUGGGUGAUGGCAUGAAGUGGAACCCAACUUUCUGUCCUGGUCUGUUGUUGAAGUAAGCUGCCACAUGAAGAGACCCAUGGGUCAAAGAACUGAGUGUGGCCACUAGCCAGCAUCCAACAGUUGCUGAAGCCUGACAGUCCACAAGGAAAUGAAUCCUGCCAACAACACAUGAACUUGGAAAUGGAUCUUACCCAGUUGAGCUUCCAAUGAACCAGAGCCCUGGCAACACUACGAUUGCAGCCUCACAAGAGACCUUGAAACAAAGGACCAAGGUAAUGUUGCCAAAAUUCCUGACUUGCAUCAACUAUGUGAUAAUAUAUAUGUGUUGUUUUA